GCUUAAUGUGGAUAAAUGUUGGCCUGCCCAUUCCAAGUUAGGAGAUGAGUCUCGACAUCCGGGCGAAGGCCUGGGUGGCGUGGCUCCUAGAGUGGAGGAGCCUACGUGUGGCUGGUUUCACACAGCUGCAUCCACCUCCCGUGCUCGUCAGAGGAUGACAGAGAUGUCGUUUUGGC
rnacentral:SRP_RNA from 11 species